AGUGAACGCUGGCGGUAGGCCUAACACAUGCAAGUCGAGCGGCAGCACAGAGGAGCUUGCUCCUUGGGUGGCGAGUGGCGGACGGGUGAGGAAUACAUCGGAAUCUACUCUGUCGUGGGGGAUAACGUAGGGAAACUUACGCUAAUACCGCAUACGACCUACGGGUGAAAGCAGGGGAUCUUCGGACCUUGCGCGAAUAAAUGAGCCGAUGUCGGAUUAGCUAGUUGGCGGGGUAAAGGGCCACCAAGGCGACGAUCCGUAGCUGGUCUGAGAGGAUGAUCAGCCAAACUGGAACUGAGACACGGUCCAGACUCCUACGGGAGGCAGCAGUGGGGAAUAUUGGACAAUGGGCGCAAGCCUGAUCCAGCCAUACCGCGUGGGUGAAGAAGGCCUUCGGGUUGUAAAGCCCUUUUGUUGGGAAAGAAAUCCAUCUGGUUAAUACCCGGGUGGGAUGACGGUACCCAAAGAAUAAGCACCGGCUAACUUCGUGCCAGCCGCCGCAGUAA
rnacentral:rRNA from 1 species